rnacentral:rRNA from 1 species
UACGUAGGGGGCAAGCGUUGUCCGGAAUCAUUGGGCGUAAAGAGCGUGUAGGCGGUCCGGUAAGUCCGCUGUGAAAGUCGGGGGCUCAACCCUCGAAUGCCGGUGGAUACUGUCGGGCUAGAGUGCGGAAGAGGCGAGUGGAAUUCCUGGUGUAGCGGUGAAAUGCGCAGAUAUCGGGAGGAACACCUAUGGCGAAGGCAGCUUGCUGGGACGGCACUGACGCUGAGACGCGAAAGCGUGGGGAGCAAACAGG